GGAGAGGUGACAGAGUGGCCGAAUGUGCAGCACUGGAAAUGCUGUGUGCCGGAAACGGUACCGAGGGUUCGAAUCCCUCCCUCUCCGCCA
rnacentral:tRNA from 1 species